ACCCAGGCUCCUACCAUCUGGGGAAGGAGCCCUGCUGCCUACUCCCUACCUCGCUCCUCCUCUUAAAAUAUAUACUAAAUUCUUGGAAAGUUUCCUAGAGUUCAGGACGGCAUUCCCCAGCUAACCUUUGGGAACUUUUGACUCGGGGUCGUCGUAUACGGAAAAGUUAAGUCUUUGAGCGGCUCAGCAUAGCCACAGGAUGAAAAACACAAGUGUCCAGGGACGCUCUCAAAAUUUGGUUGUCGCAUUUGCUUUGAGCUUUCCCUGGACUUAAGGCAGGACCCCCGGAAGGCUGCAGAGAGGAAAUUUAUCUAGGACUGUCUUGUGGGAAUGGAUUUUUACACUUUUUCUCCCCAGUUGGAGGAGGAAAGGGGCAUUCAAGCACAGUCGAACAAGCAAGGAUAGGUGCGUUGUAAAAUGCGAUUUAGAGAGACUGUGAGACCUCCUCCCAAAGGACCUGUUUCCUCGAAAUAUACCUUUUCAGCGUGGCCGCCUUUCCAAAAGGCUGAAGGUAGAAAACUCUGGAGUGGAGAGACUGGCGACUGGAGCAGGAUCCAGAGGCUUUAAAUUUUAACCUGAGUUCGAUCGGACUUAGCCGAAGAGACCGUUGUGGGCCGGCCCAGUUCCCACCACGGCUUCCAUUGCCUUGCCUUGGGUUAUUCGCUUGUUAUCUGGGCCACCCAAUGACCGACGAAAGAUCUUCCCUCCCCACGUCUCCCAUGGCUACUUUAAACCAAAUAAAUUCAGCUAUUAAGGGCCAAGAUGUCUGACAAAAGAUCGAAAGGUGUCUUUCUGGGAUCGCUGAAACAGCCGAGGGAGAAGCCGGCGGCUCUCAAAUCCCGAUAAAGAAAUUCCGCGCCGGCGCCGGCCUCCCUCCUAGGCCCGCCUGGGACACCCGGCGAUCGCGACUUCACAGGCCCAGCGCGACUGGGGGCCACGCGGCCUAAUGUGGAAAAGCCGGGGGUGGGCAGGCCUCGGGAGAGAGGUGGACAUGGGGGAAUCCCUGGAACCGGGGAGCUGGGAUCGGAACUAGGUUACCUAAAACAGUCCUGC